GACGAACGCUGGCGGCGUGCCUAAUACAUGCAAGUAGAACGCUGAAGAGAGGAGCUUGCUCUUCUUGGAUGAGUUGCGAACGGGUGAGUAACGCGUAGGUAACCUGCCUUGUAGCGGGGGAUAACUAUUGGAAACGAUAGCUAAUACCGCAUAACAAUGGAUGACACAUGUCAUUUAUUUGAAAGGGGCAAUUGCUCCACUACAAGAUGGACCUGCGUUGUAUUAGCUAGUAGGUGAGGUAAUGGCUCACCUAGGCGACGAUACAUAGCCGACCUGAGAGGGUGGUCGGCCACACUGGGACUGGGACACGGCCCAGACUCCUACGGGAGGCAGCAGUAGGGAAUCUUCGGCAAUGGGGGCAAACCUGACCGAGCAACGCCGCGUGAGUGAAGAAGGUUUUCGGAUCGUAAAGCUCUGUUGUAAGUCAAGAACGGGUGUGAGAGUGGAAAGUUCACGCUGUGACGGUAGCUUACCAGAAAGGGACGGCUAACUACGUG
rnacentral:rRNA from 1 species